AUAACUACCCGCCCGUACAAUGCUGACACACGCCAACAACGAAUAAAUCAAUCAAUCAAUUAACCCAUCAAUCCAUGGAUCGAUCAAUUGAAUUGAAGUUGAGAACAAGAUGCUAUCAUUCAUUCUUUGAUGCAUACAACCAAUCAACUAGAAUGCUAAGCAGCUAAAAGAAGGGGGGGGGGCAGAAACGAGAGGAGACCACCAAACCAGACAUUGGAACAUUGGGUUUGGGGGAGGGGACGUGGCUCGACUAGCGAUUCCAAGAUGGGGCGCAAACCAUCCACCAUACGGAGCUGGACCUCCGUUACUGGCACCAGAGAAUAGGGGGUCAACCUUGAUCUUGCAGAGCCAGAACAUUCUUCUCGUUAAAUAGAUCGACCGUCCUCGGACGAUUAUUGUCUCGAAGAUACUUGUAUACUCUGUCUGGUUAAUCUUUGGAUGAGGACGAUAUAUGAGGUUCGGCAACUUGGCCAUCGGCAAAAAUAAGAAACCAAUUCAUCAGAGCUUUGACAGAGGACUGGGUAAUG
rnacentral:lncRNA from 1 species